CCGCGGUAAUACAGAGGUCUCAAGCGUUGUUCGGAAUCACUGGGCGUAAAGGGUGCGUAGGUGGCGUGGUAAGUCAGAUGUGAAAGCCCGGGGCUCAACCUCGGAAUUGCAUCCGAUACUGCCAUGCUAGAGUACUGAAGAGGUGACUAGAAUUCUCGGUGUAGCAGUGAAAUGCGUAGAUAUCGAGAGGAAUACCAACGGCGAAGGCAGGUCACUGGGCAGUUACUGACACUGAGGCACGAAGGCCAGG
rnacentral:rRNA from 1 species